rnacentral:rRNA from 1 species
AGUUGUAUCCUGGCUCAGGAUGAACGCUGGCGGUAUGCUUUACACAUGCAAGUCGUACGAGAGUUUUUAACUCAAGUGGCGGACGGGUGAGUAACACGUAAGAAUUUACCUUUAGGAGGGGGAUAACAACUGGAAACGGUUGCUAAUACCCCAUAUGCUUUCGAGUGAAAUGGAUUUUUUCGCCUAGAGAGAAGCUUGCGGCUGAUUAGCUUGUUGGUGAGGUAAUGGCUCACCAAGGCGACGAUCAGUAUCUGGUUUGAGAGGACGAUCAGACACACUGGAACUGAGACACGGUCCAGACUCCUACGGGAGGCAGCAGUGGGGAAUUUUCCGCAAUGGGCGAAAGCCUGACGGAGCAAUACCGCGUGAGGGAUGACGGCCUAUGGGUUGUAAACCUCUUUUUUCAGGGAGGAAGAAAUGACGUGUACCUGAAGAAUAAGCAUCGGCUAACUCCGUGCCAGCAGCCGCGGUAAGACGGAGGAUGCAAGUGUUAUCCGGAAUCACUGGGCGUAAAGCGUCUGUAGGUUGUUUAAUAAGUCAACUGUUAAAUCUCGAGGCCCAACCUCGAAAUCGCAGUCGAAACUAUUAGACUAGAGUAUAGUAGGGGUAAAGGGAAUUUCCAGUGGAGCGGUGAAAUGCGUAGAGAUUGGAAAGAACACCGAUGGCGAAGGCACUUUACUGGGCUAUUACUAACACUCAGAGACGAAAGCUAGGGUAGCAAAUGGGAUUAGAUACCCCAGUAGUCCUAGCUGUAAACAAUGGAUACUAGAUGUUGAACAGAUCGACCUGUGCAGUAUUAAAGCUAACGCGUUAAGUAUCCCGCCUGGGGAAGUAUGCUCGCAAGAGUGAAACUCAAAGGGAAUUGACNGG